rnacentral:rRNA from 1 species
GACGAACGCUGGCGGCGUGCCUAAUACAUGCAAGUCGAGCGAAUCAAUGGGAGCUUGCUCCCUGAGAUUAGCGGCGGACGGGUGAGUAACACGUGGGUAACCUGCCUGUAAGACUGGGAUAACUUCGGGAAACCGGAGCUAAUACCGGAUACAUUCUUUUCUCGCAUGAGGAGAGAUGGAAAGAUGGCUCUGCUAUCACUUACAGAUGGACCCGCGGCGCAUUAGCUAGUUGGUGAGGUAAUGGCUCACCAAGGCGACGAUGCGUAGCCGACCUGAGAGGGUGAUCGGCCACACUGGGACUGAGACACGGCCCAGACUCCUACGGGAGGCAGCAGUAGGGAAUCUUCCGCAAUGGACGAAAGUCUGACGGAGCAACGCCGCGUGAGCGAAGAAGGCCUUCGGGUCGUAAAGCUCUGUUGUUAGGGAAGAACAAGUACGAGAGUAACUGCUCGUACCUUGACGGUACCUAACCAGAAAGCCACGGCUAACUACGUGCCAGCAGCCGCCGUAAGAC